rnacentral:lncRNA from 1 species
GGAUAUGAAGUUCUCAGUAAGCAACAACGAAAUUCUGAAUUGUUCUUCCUUAAGUUCCUUUAUCAUUCACUUCAAAUUCAGAAGAAUGAGGCAAUGUGAGAUUGUACCACAUCCUAAUAGAGAAACUAUAAAGUAGAAGAAAAUCGUAGUCAGCAUGAUAGAAACUAGUUAGGAGAACUCAAUUUACAAUUAAGUUUGAUUCAGUAGCAAGCCAAGAAUUAAAUGAAUAUAGCUCCACGUUAAAGCAAACGGGUUAAUAUGACAUGUUUAUAAGGAAAUAAAUUACUUGCUUACUGUUGAUCAACAACCAAAAAUUAGACCAUGAAAGAGCGGCCUGUGAUUAAGUCGAUGAUGGACUGGAAGAUUACUAGAUUGUGAUCAACACUAAAUUAUCUGUCUCUUCGGAUGAACACCACCUGAUGUCACAAAUAUUUCCGAAUUCGAUAAAUGAUAUAUGAAGUAUCCAGAAAGCAACUAUAAAUUUCUGAAUUAUUGUUCAUUAAGAAUGCUAUGAGUGAUGGAACCACUGCUUAAAAGAGAAAGUAGUAUGAAAUAGAAGAAAAUAGUAGUACGCAUCAUAGGUGAAACUCAUUUAACGUUAAAUGAUUGUAAAUACCGGCAGAUAAGAUAAUUUAAGAGAGUGAGAACAUCGCUAUAUGUAGAACAUCAUAAGGCAAUGGAAACAAAAAUGUUCAGAAAUUGAAGAAAACGUAUAAAGAUUACACAAAGUCACCUCCCAUCCCGCUUAUAUGCAAAUUAGGAGAGAGGAGCGGGGACAAUGGAGUCUAACCUUAUUCUUUUUAUACGGAAGUUAAUUUUAUAGUAAUUAGAUAAGUGCGACGAAUUCAAGUUCUGCCACAUUAAAUAAGAGCAAAAGAGUCAAGCUGUCAAUUUAGUCAUAAAAACAAGUAGCUACAUAAAUUAAAGGCAGUAAAGACUAAAUAGCUGGGAUAAUUGAAGUUUUGAAGCAAAAGCAAGGCAAGAGCAGAAUAGGACAUAGCUUCAAGCUAAAUCAUUCAACUACGGGAAUGAUUUUUGGAAGUUAACGAGGCCAUUGAAGACUUCAUUGUUCUUUCAGUUGUAAACAUAAUGAUCAAAAAGCAAAUGAAGUCUUCAAUUGCCUCAUCAUUUUCCAAAAAUCAUUUUUUCACAAUCCAACCAAUGAACCUUGUCCACGUUUCUACAUUUCUAUUUUUUCACAAUCCAUCCAAUGAACCUUGUCGGCGUUUCUCCAUUUCUCAUCAACUCCAAGAGUAUAAACCUCCAAUUCAGACACUUUUGGACUUUCAAGAAAAUUUCUAAUUACUAAUUUAAAUCUCAAU